rnacentral:rRNA from 1 species
GAUGAACGCUAGCGGCAGGCUUAACACAUGCAAGUCGAGGGGCAGCACAGGGAGCAAUCCUGGGUGGCGACCGGCGGAAGGGUGCGUAACGCGUGAGCAACUUGCCCGUAUCUGGGAGAUAACCGAUGGAAACGUCGACUAAUAUCCCAUAACACAAUUUGUGGCAUCGCAGAUUGUUAAAAGAGAAUCGGAUACGGAUAGGCUCGCGUGACAUUAGCUAGUUGGAGUGGUAACGGCACACCAAGGCGACGAUGUCUAGGGGUUCUGAGAGGAAGGUCCCCCACACUGGAACUGAGACACGGUCCAGACUCCUACGGGAGGCAGCAGUGAGGAAUAUUGGUCAAUGGGCGAAAGCCUGAACCAGCCAUGCCGCGUGAAGGAAUAAGGCCCUAUGGGUCGUAAACUUCUUUUGACGGGGAGCAAUAAGGUCUACGUGUAGGCCGAUGAGAGUACUCGUCGAAUAAGCAUCGGCUAACUCCGUGCCAGCAGCCGCGGUAAUACGGAGGAUGCGAGCGUUAUCCGGAAUUAUUGGGUUUAAAGGGUGCGUAGGCUGUUUGUUAAGUCAGGGGUGAAAUACCGCAGCUCAACUGUGGAAUUGCCUUUGAUACUAGCAGGCUUGAAUACUGUUGCCGUGGGAGGAAUGAGUAGUGUAGCGGUGAAAUGCAUAGAUAUUACUCAGAACACCGAUUGCGAAGGCAUCUCACGAAGCAGGCAUUGACGCUGAGGCACGAAAGCGUGGGGAUCAAACAGG